UACGUAGGUUGCGAGCGUUGUCCGGAAUUACUGGGCGUAAAGAGCUCGUAGGUGGUUUGUCGCGUUGUUCGUGAAAUUCCCUGGCUUAACUGGGGGCGUGCGGGCGAUACGGGCAGACUGGAGUACUGCAGGGGAGACUGGAAUUCCUGGUGUAGCGGUGGAAUGCGCAGAUAUCAGGAGGAACACCGGUGGCGAAGGCGGGUCUCUGGGCAGUAACUGACGCUGAGGAGCGAAAGCGCGGGUAGCAAACAGG
rnacentral:rRNA from 1 species